rnacentral:rRNA from 1 species
UACGGAAGGCAGCAGUGGGGAAUAUUGCACAAUGGGCGAAAGCCUGAUGCAGCUAUGCCGCGUGUAUGAAGAAGGCCUUAGGGGUUGUAAAGUACUUUCAUCGGGGAGGAAAAAACAAAACUAAUAAUUUUAUUUCUUGACGUUACCCGAAAAAGAAGCACCGGCUAACUCCGUGCCAGCAGCCGCGGUAAUACGGAGGGUGCUAGCGUUAAUCAGAAUUACUGGGCGUAAAGAGCACGUAGGUGGUUUUUUUAAAGUCAGAUGUGAAAUCCCUGGGCUUAACCUAGGAACUGCAUUUUGAAACUGAAAUACUAGAGUAUCGUAGAGGGAGGUAGAAUUCUAGGUGUAGCGGUGAAAUGCGUAGAUAUCUGGAGGAAUACCUGUGGCGAAAGCGGCCUCCUAAACGAAUACUGACACUGAGGGUGCGAAAGCGUGGGGAGCAAACAGGGAUUAGAUACC